rnacentral:rRNA from 1 species
GACGAACGCUGGCGGCGUGCUUAACACAUGCAAGUCGAGCGGUAAGGCCCUUUCGGGGGUACGACGAGCGGCGAACGGGUGAGUAACAAGUGGGUGACCUGCCCUCCAGCUCUGGGAGUAAGCCUGGGGAACCGGGGUCGUAAUACCGGAUAUGACUCCAUGACGCAUGUUGUGGGGUGGAAAGCCUUGUGCGGCUGAGGAUGGGCCCG